CCCCACAAAACACAAAUAUCGGGGAGAUUUCUCCCAAUUCCGCCAUUUUUCCAGCCUUUCCGAUCAACGUUUACUCAAAACGUGAAGCAAAUGAAAUGAGCAAAUAGCGAAGGAAAAUUCUUCGCAGUUCCAAAGUAGCCAAGCUGGGCGAAGAAAAAUGGCGGGAAAUCCAAAAUCCUUUUGAGGAAAUGAACAGCGAUCUAAGAAAUAGAAGAGGCAAAGAGGUACCGAUAGAUCAUAGGGACAUUGCUUGCGCUGGAGAAUCUUCUGUGAGUCGAUUUCCAUGGCGAGGAAGAGAACGAACAGAGCACAAGAAUUUUACUCUUCGAAUCUCAAUUGAGAGACGCGCGUUCGGCAAUUCAUUGGCCCAGGCGACACUCUCCGUUGGAGAAAUAAGGCCGCAGAUUUCUCUCCCAUCGCCUCUACACUCUUCUCUUCCUUCAGUCUCUUCGAUUCGUCCCGUCCUUCACCGUCGGUUUCUCCCAACUGCGCAGCUUCCUUGGUUUCUGACUCCGGACUGCAUUCCACUGGACGCAGACGGAUUUGUAUAGCUAUGGUUCAGCAGGCAGCCCAAGGAGCUCCGGCGAUUUAUGCUAAGGAGAUGGAGAGACUCUCUGCUAAGGAAUCGCUGCUGUUGGCU